rnacentral:lncRNA from 1 species
UGAAAGUCAUAACUCAUUUAUUGAAUGAAUAGUAUAUGCAAGAAUACCAAUAAAAGGAAACUAAUACUACAAACUACAAUUUUGAAAAUAAAGCCAAUAUAACAGGAACAAAAUAUACAUAAUAUGAGAGGAAUGUUUGAUUUUGACCCAUAAUGCAUUCCUUAUCUUUACAAUAACCUAAAUGUCUGUUAGAACAAAACUGUAUACCUUGGUCUAACUUUAGUGCUUCUUAAAAAAGCAACAACAUUCUAGAACACUUUUCUUUUGCUUUGAGAUAUUUAAGAUUCACACAUUUGUUCAAGUACAUAGAUUCUGAUUUAACAGUAGAUCUACAUAUCUUGUUAUUCUCUUAAUAUCUUGAGUAACAUGUACUCCAGAGCAAGUACUAUCUGAAAUUCUAAAACUGAUGAUCAUUGAAAUAAAAUGUACUUCAGUUGUGGGUUUUUAAUAAAUUGAGAUGAAAGUAAAACUCACCCUUCCCACCCCCCUCCCCCCAGGAACAAAGAGCUCAUUAAAGUAUAGAAACUCAAGUCUAUCUUUCUACUCUAAAGAACAUUUCUUACUAACAUUUCUGGUAAGGCAAUAAAUGCUCCAGAAUAAUCUUCAAUAUAUGCUUGCAAAGAUUACACUGUUUAAUAUCGAUAAC